rnacentral:rRNA from 1 species
UACGGGGGGGGCAAGCGUUGUUCGGAAUUACUAGGCGUAAAGGGCUCGUAGGCGGCCAACUAAGUCGGAUGUGAAAUCCCCAGGCUUAACCUGGGAACUGCAUCCGAUACUGGAUGGCUUGAAUUCGGGAGAGGGAUGCAGAAUUCCAGGUGUAGCGGUGAAAUGCGUAGAUAUCUGGAGGAAUACCGGUGGCGAAGGCGGCAUCCUGGACCGACAUUGACGCUGAGGAGCGAAAGCUAGGGGAGCAAACGGG